rnacentral:pre_miRNA from 1 species
UGGCUUUGUUCUCAGUUAAACUUAUCUAACUUUUGAUCAAGUUUCUAGAAAAAAUAUAUUAGCAUCUACAACUUCAAAUAAAUGCACUUUCAAAUUAUAUUCCAUGUAAACUUUGAUGAAACAAAUUUGAUAUUGUAGAUGUUUUUGUGUUUUCUACAAACUUGGUCAAAGUUAAAGAAGUUUGACUUAGAACAAACCCAA